rnacentral:rRNA from 1 species
UACGUAGGGGGCUAGCGUUGUCCGGAAUUACUGGGCGUAAAGAGCGCGUAGGCGGUCCGGUAAGUCCGGUGUGAAAGUCGGGGGCUCAACCCUCGAAUGCCGGUGGAUACUGUCGGGCUAGAGUGCGGAAGAGGCGAGUGGAAUUCCUGGUGUAGCGGUGAAAUGCGCAGAUAUCAGGAGGAACACCUAUUGCGAAGGCAGCUCGCUGGGACGUUACUGACGCUGAGACGCGAAAGCGUGGGGAGCAAACAGG